rnacentral:rRNA from 1 species
AUUGAACGCUGGCGGCGUGCCUAACACAUGCAAGUCGAGCGGUAACAGGUGUAGCAAUACAUGCUGACGAGCGGCGGACGGGUGAGUAACGCUUGGGAAUCUGCCUGAUAGUGGGGGACAACCCGGGGAAACUCGGGCUAAUACCGCAUACGCACUACGGUGGAAAGCCGGGGACCGCAAGGCCUGGCGCUAACAGAUGAGCCCAAGUCGGAUUAGCUAGUUGGUAGGGUAACGGCCUACCAAGGCGACGAUCCGUAACUGGUCUGAGAGGACGACCAGUCACACCGGAACUGAGACACGGUCCGGACUCCUACGGGAGGCAGCAGUGGGGAAUAUUGGACAAUGGGCGAAAGCCUGAUCCAGCGACGCCGCGUGGGUGAAGAAGGCCUGCGGGUUGUAAAGCCCUUUCGGUGGGGAAGAAAAGCCUCGAGCUAAUACCUCGGGGUCUUGACGUAACCCAUAGAAGAAGCACCGGCUAACUCUGUGCCAGCAGCCGCAGUAAUAC